ACAAGCAAGACGGUGACCAUGCCAGUGAUGCCUCGCUUCUACUCCACUACGCCCAUGCCCCGCCUCCUCCGCCGCCUCUCCUCCACCUCCACCUCCACCUCGGGGCCCUCACGCUGCUGGGAUCCCAGCGCCGCCCUCGCCGCGGCCACAGAGCGGGUCCGCGCCGGGACGCUCAGCCCGGCAGACGCACGCCACCUGUUCGACGAAUUGCUGCAGCGGCCAACCCCGGUCCCUGGUCAAGCCCUGAACGGCUUCCUCGCCGCCCUUGCCCGCGCUCCGGCCUCCGCCGCCUGCGGAGACAGCCCCGCCCUCGCCGUGUCUCUCUUCAACCGCCUGUGCCGAGAAGCCAGCCCGCAUGCGUCGCCUCUUACAGUCCACACCUACAGCAUCCUCAUGGACUGCUGCUGCCGCGCGCGUCGCCCUGACCUGGGGCUUGCCUUCUUCGGCCGCCUCCUCAGGACGGGCCUGAGGACAGACGGCGUCGACGCAUACGCCCUCAUCAAGUGCUUCUGCCUCGCAAAACGGACAGACGAGGCUGUCAGCGUGCUGCUCCAUAGGUUGUCUGAACUCGGCUGUGUGCCUGAUGCCUUAUCAUACUCCGUCGUUCUGAAGGUCUUAUGCGAUGAUAGCAGGAGCCAGCGAGCGCUCGACCUGCUCCGGAUGAUGUCGAAAGAAGGAGGUGUCUGCGCCCCCAACGUGGUGCCAUAUAGCACGGUCAUCCACGGCUUCUGCAAGGAAGGCAAAGUAAGCAAGGCAUGCGAUCUGUUCAACAAAAUGGGGCAGCAAGGAGUUAAGCCUAAUGUGGUGACAUAUACCUCGAUAAUUGAUGCGCUGUGCAAGGCCAGAGCAAUGGACAAGGCAGAGUCAUUCCUUCGGCAUAUGGUCGAUAAUGAUGUUCGACCCAACAACGUGACAUAUAAGUGUAUCAUCCAGGGAUAUUCCUCUUUGGGCUUGUGGAAUGAGGCAGUAAAAAUAUUCAGAGAAAUGACAAGCCGGGGUCUUAUGCUAGAUGAUGUUACUCGCAACUCAUUCGUGGCCUCCCUUUGCAACCAUGGAAGAAGCAAGGAAGCUGCGGAGAUUGCCCAUCAGAUGAUUGAAAGUGAAACUACAGUGAGCAACUGAGCAUUUCCACAUACGGUAUAAUUCUUGGAGAACUUUGUAGGAAUAAUUGCACUGAGGAAGCAAUCAUACUGUUCCACAAAUUAGGUGCAGUGGAUGUGAAGUUCGAUAUUACAAUAUUCAAUACCAUGAUUGAUGCAAUGUACAGGGUUCAAAGAAGAGAAGAAGCUAACAUUUUGUUUGCUGCAAUAUCUGCCAAUGGAUUGGUACCUAAUGCUUCUACUUACAGAAUAAUGAUGACAAAUCUUUUAAAAGAAGGAUCAAUGGAAGAAGCUGAUCAUAUGUUUUCAUCAAUGGAGGCGAGUGGUGAUGCUCCCAGCUCCGUUCUGUUAAAUGAUAUCAUCAGAAUGUUGCUAUAAAAAGGUGAGAUAGUCAAGGCUGGAAAUUAUUUGUCUAAAGUUGAUGGGAAGAGCAUUUCACUUGAAAAUUCAACUGGUUUGUUGAUGAUGCAUCUAUUUUCAAGGGAAGGCAAAUAUCAUGAGCAAAUAAAAUCACUCCCUGCAAGGUAUCGAUUUUUCGGAGGAGUCAGACACAGUUGAAUAGUUGAUUCAUUGGAUGUGUAUAACUCCUUGGAAGGUACAGUUGAUUUAUUCCAUUGCCAUCUGGGUCUCUUGCUGGUAUUGUAAAUGCAAAUUAGUUGCUUGUGGAAAACUGGUCAUUCAUUUUUCAUUCAGUUCAUAUCUGUGUAUCUUUUAAGCUUCUUUGGGUGUGGAAAGGUGAACCACAUAGUCUAGCAGAACUGGUUGCAUUUAGGGAUAAUGGCUUCUGAUUGAACAGGGAAGGUAUAGAUAUGUGCUCUUUCCACAAGAAGCCCAAUAAACACCAAUUCUAGCUUUUCUAGCAUGGUUUGUUCCAACCACCCGAGAUUUUAUAAUCUCUCUAAAACAGUCACUUUCCUUGAUAUGAAUGCAUUUUUAGCAGAUAUCAUUCUCAGUGAUGUGCUAAGGGUAGACUCACUUUUAGUUUGAGGAAUUUCUGAUAAUGUCAGGGCAAAUGGGUCCCUAAAAAAGGGAUGUUUGAGAUUGCUGAUGCUAUGUUCAUUUAGUGGAUAUUCGAGCUCAUGUCGGAGUCUCAUAGUGUAAGCUGUCAGUAGCACUGAUGGAGAUUGUUGAAUACACUGCCGGCGAUGAGCGGUGUCUUUGGGAGAUUGCAGGCUGACAGGGCCUCUCUUCCUUGACUGCCAUGGCCCUUGGAGCUUAGUUGUUUGGCUGUAGUCCUGUCUGGUCGUUUUUUUAAUGAUAAACAGGCGCGAAUGUAGUCUAAGAACAAUAGUGUGGCAUGUGUAGCGUGUGUGACUGGGUGCUGUAUGGGUUCUUGUCCCAUUUCUUCUUCUUAAUGUAAUGAUACGCAGAUCUCCCGCGUGCGAGAAAAAAGAGAUUGUUGAAUACAGGUGAUAAAAGUAUUGCCAGUAUGUUAUCUUUCUGUUAUUGAGAGCACACUUCAUUGAAGAUUCAACUGCUUUCCUGCUCCUCGUAAUGUAGGGAAAGGUAUAGCCAAGAAUUCACCGGUGCGAGUUUUCGCUUAAGUCCACAAGGCACCAACACCAUUUUGGUGACAGAGGAGAAGGACCUAAAGCAUUUGCUUGACGAGAAAUUCUUGUUCCUAAGCACAUGUACAGUCCUGUCCAGUCCUGUUUGGUUUUGGUGCCCUAAAUGCUCCACCGCUGCGACUUCUACUUUCUCUUUUACAACUUGAAAGGCAGUUGUUUUACAGCAUAGACCAGGGAUCAGAAUGAGAGCAAAGGCAGAGGAGCGGCACAGACGAUGAUGUAAUUGUUGGAAAUAUAGUGCAACAGAGCUUUAUUGCAGUGACAUUUACACUAUAUUUUCCUAAGGAAAUUGUCAGGAUGGUACUGUCAGAUGUAAAUGGAAUACAAUGUCUGAAACCUUGUUUCAGUACAGUUUGGUUGUCAACAUUCAGAAACAGAGUUUCAGGUCUGUGCAAACGGGUGAGUCGAGGUCUGACCCUGGUGUCAACUGAUCCCGUUUCUAGCCGGACUGAAUUCUGGUAUGUUUGAUUGAUACAAACUUACAAAGUGAAGUCCAUCUCAUCAACGGUACCACGGCUGCCGCACGAAUUCUCCGGUGGAUAAACUUGCACAAGUAGUCGCCGCAGGAGGAGGAGUGCGUGGGACAAACUCCAGGGGGCGGAUCCUGAAGUUUAGGCAGUUCGUUGGUUUAGGGUUGAUUGCUGAUUCGUGCCUAUAAAAGGGAGACGUCCCAGAUAGGAAGACACACAGAAAAAGCAUUCACCUGAGUUCUUCUCUGUUUCGUCGCCGGAGCCUCGCCAUCCCUUUCCUGUUGUGCUGCAGGACGGGGAGAGCAGUAAUCUCCGUUCCUUCUCCGGCUUGCUGACCUGCACGGGUGCCGGAGCAAUCAAGGUUCUGGGAAGUGCCUCUGCACGCUGCUCGCCGAUCUGCAUCGCCACUUCCGCUUCUCCAGCUUCGUCAGGCUUCCACUUCAACACCUUCGUUUCAGUCAAGAUUUUGCUGGACUGGCAUUAAUGGGGUUGGCAACACUCUGCUUGGGCUCUGGGACAAGUUUGUGUUUGUUACGGUUCACUGAUGAUCUUAAUCUGGUUUGGGGAAUUCUGAGAAUUGCUUCAGGCUUUAUUUGAUACCAACUGGAGUGACUGUUAAUACUCCUUUGAUUUGCUCUUCACAUGCAUCACCAAGAUUCUAUGUAGACAUUUUUGUUUUCCUUGUUAUACUCCACCAAGAAUGCUGUCUGAGCCUUUACUCCCUUCGUCCCACAAUAUAAAAGCGUUUUUGUGUCAAAAACGCUCUUAUAUUAUACGUAUAGGACAGAGGGCACUAGUGUAAAAAACGCUCUUAUAUUAUAGGACGAAGGGAGUAGAACUAUUCCUGUUAAGACUAGCUCCCUGGAAAUUAAGACAAGACACAAUCCCUACAUACUCAAUGGUAGCUGAAACUUUUGCAUUCUACUACUGUACUAGUUAAAUUGGCCCCUCUUUUAAACUUUUGUAUGCCUUGUACAUGGAUUGCAAAUUUUAGUAAAAUAUUCUUUGCUUAA